rnacentral:rRNA from 1 species
UACGGAGGGUGCGAGCGUUGUCCGGAAUCACUGGGCGUAAAGGGCGCGUAGGCGGCUCAUGAAGGCUGUGGUGAAAGUCCGGGGCUCAACCUCGGAUCGGCCGUGGCGACUCGUGGGCUGGAGCACUGUAGAGGCGGGUGGAAUUCCGGGUGUAGCGGUGGAAUGCGUAGAGAUCCGGAGGAACACCAAAGGCGAAGGCAGUGUCCUGGGGAGUACCUGACGCUCAGGUGCGAAAGCCAGGGGAGCGAACGGG